rnacentral:rRNA from 1 species
GAUGAACGCUGGCGGUAUGCUUUACACAUGCAAGUCAUACGGAAGUUAGUUUCGGCUAACUUCAGUGGCGGACGGGUGAGUAACACGUGAGAAUUCGCCUUUAGGAGGGGGAUAACAGGGGGAAACACCUGCUAAAACCCCAUAUGCCUUCGGGUCAAAAGAGUAAUCUGCCUAAAGAGAAGCUCGCGGCUGAUUAGCUAGUUGGUAGGGUAAAGGCCUACCAAGGCGACGACCAGUAGCUGGUCUGAGAGGAUGAUCAGCCACACUGGAACUGAGACACGGUCCAGACUCCUACGGGAGGCAGCAGUGAGGAAUUUUCUGCAAUGGGCGAAAGCCUGACAGAGCAAUACCGCGUGAGGGAAGAAGGCUUACUGAGUUGUAAACCUCUGUUACCUAAGGAGGAAGAUCUGACGUUACUUAGGAGACGAAGCAUCGGAUAACUCCGUGCCAGCAGCCGCGGUAAAAC